GAGUUCAGUUCUUCAUUUUCCUCUUAUUUAUCACAUUAUUUAUUAUCAUUUUGUAUCCAUUCCCAGUUUUUAGUAGUAGUGAUGUGUGUUAACCGUGUGGUGAAUAAUUGAUUGAUUGUUUAUUGUUGCAAGAUUCGCCGCCUGCCUUUCCUGCAGACACCACCUCGAACCUCUUCCCUUGAGUGUGUCUGGGUCCCUCUGUUGUCACUUCGACAGCAUACAUCUAGAAGUUGGAACAUCCUCAGGGGUAACGGGCCCCUCGACGGCAUACAUCUAGAAAUUGUAACACGGGUUUUGCUCCUUCUCCAACCAUCCCUGAUACCCUACGCCCUUGUCCACCCAGCAGUGCACGGCUACCAGGGCUAACAGGUAUGUUUGGCAGUGUAUUUUAUAGCGGCGGACGGGAUACGAACCUGUGUGCUUCUGAAAGCUGCUCCAGCACGCCACCACUCAGCCACCGCCUCCCUCUUGCUUAGGGAAUAAAUCACAAUACAAGGUAUUUUUAAGUAAUUUCCUUUACUGUUCAGCGCAAGUUCGUGACGGUUACUUUUAUUCCUUGCCAGGUCUGAUAUUUUCCAGUGUUUCCCUUUUUUUCAUAUUUUCCUCUUUACGCUCCUCACCUCGACCUUCGUUUAGGGAGUGACCUCGCUUAGCCUUCCUCUCACCUACCCUGACCUGCCCUAAUCUUACCUGAUCCACUUAUCUGUUUAUUGAAUGGCUGUGACUUUGAAUCGCCUGUUUAUUGAAUGGCUGACUUUUUUAAUCACAUGUUUACCUGUCUUUACCGGUCUUAAUUAUUUGAACACCUUGGACUUGAUUAAUUUCUCGUGUUGUUUCGA